rnacentral:rRNA from 1 species
UACGUAGGGUGCAAGCGUUGUUCGGAAUUACUGGGCGUAAAGGGCUCGUAGGCGGCCAACUAAGUCAGACGUGAAAUCCCCAGCUCAACCUGGGAACUGCGUCUGAUACUGGAUGGCUUGAAUCCGGGAGAGGGAUGCAGAAUUCCAGGUGUAGCGGUGAAAUGCGUAGAUAUCUGGAGGAAUACCGGUGGCGAAGGCGGCAUCCUGGACCGGCAUUGACGCUGAGGAGCGAAAGCCAGGGGAGCAAAGCGGG